AGUUGUAGUUGCGCUCCAGUUGGGGCGGUUGCAACUACAAAAAAAAGUGUGACAAAAGCUACACGGUCAGGGAAACUCUCGCAAAAAUCCCGAUUGCUGUUGGGGAACGUUGCAUGGGAAACAAAAAAUUUCCUACGCACACGAAGACCUAUCAUGGUGAUGAUCAUCUACGAGAGGGAGAUCGGAUCCACAUACCCUUGUAGAUCUCUAAGCGGAAGCGUUAAUAAACGCGGUUGAUCUAGUGGUACAUCUUUACGACCCGUCCCAUGAACCGUCCCACGA
rnacentral:lncRNA from 1 species